GUGGCGAACGGGUGAGUAACACGUGAGUAACCUGCCCCUGACUCUGGGAUAACUGCUGGAAACGGUGGCUAAUACCGGAUAUGAAAUCCUCAUGCAUGUGGGGGUUUGGAAAGAUUUUUUGGUCAGGGAUGGGCUCGCGGCCUAUCAGCUUGUUGGUGGGGUGAUGGCUCACCAAGGCGACGACGGGUAGCCGGCCUGAGAGGGCGACCGGCCACACUGGGACUGAGACACGGCCCAGACUCCUACGGGAGGCAGCAGUGGGGAAUAUUGCACAAUGGGCGCAAGCCUGAUGCAGCGACGCCGCGUGAGGGAUGGAGGCCUUCGGGUUGUAAACCUCUUUCAGCAGGGAAGAAGCGCAAGUGACGGUACCUGCAGAAGAAGCGCCGGCUAACUACGUGCCAGCAGCCGCGGUAAUACGUAGGGCGCAAGCGUUGUCCGGAAUUAUUGGGCGUAAAGAGCUCGUAGGCGGUUUGUCGCGUCUGCUGUGAAAACCUAAGGCUCAACCUUGGGCUUGCAGUGGGUACGGGCAGACUAGAGUGCGGUAGGGGUGACUGGAAUUCCUGGUGUAGCGGUGGAAUGCGCAGAUAUCAGGAGGAACACCGAUGGCGAAGGCAGGUCACUGGGCCGCAACUGACGCUGAG
rnacentral:rRNA from 1 species